AACCACGGACGGCCGUGGCACUGAUGAAUAAAGGCGGGACGGCCCGC
rfam:Pseudomonas stutzeri A1501, complete genome.